rnacentral:rRNA from 1 species
UACGAAGGGGGCUAGCGUUGUUCGGAUUUACUGGGCGUAAAGCGCACGUAGGCGGAUCGAUCAGUCAGGGGUGAAAUCCUGGAGCUCAACUCCAGAACUGCCUUUGAUACUGGAGAGCUUGAGUCCGGGAGAGGUGAGUGGAACUCCGAGUGUAGAGGUGAAAUUCGUAGAUAUUCGGAAGAACACCAGUGGCGAAGGCGGCUCACUGGCCCGGUACUGACGCUGAUGUGCGAAAGCGUGGGGAGCAAACAGGG